UCCGAAAUGGUCUAGUGGCUAGGAUUUGUCGCUCUCAUCAAUUCAAUUGAAUGUAGUGCCGACAAGGCCGGGGUUCAAUUCCCCGUUUCGGAA